CGUAGCUUAGCGCAGUCCGGUAGCGCGCCAAGCUCAUAACCUGAAGGUCCUCGGUUCGAAUCCGACCGCCGCAA
rnacentral:tRNA from 1 species